rnacentral:rRNA from 1 species
AUUGAACGCUGGCGGUAGGCCUAACACAUGCAAGUCGAACGCGAAAGUCCUUCGGGAUGAGUAGAGUGGCGGACGGGUGAGUAACGCGUAGGAAUCUAUCCUGUAGUGGGGGAUAACGUUUCGAAAGGAACGCUAAUACCGCAUACGCCCAAGGGGGAAAGCGGGGGAUCUUCGGACCUCGUGCUAUAGGAGGAGCCUGCGUCGGAUUAGCUAGUUGGUGAGGUAAAGGCUCACCAAGGCGACGAUCCGUAGCUGGUCUGAGAGGAUGAUCAGCCACACCGGAACUGAGACACGGUCCGGACGCCUACGGGAGGCAGCAGUGGGGAAUAUUGCGCAAUGGGCGCAAGCCUGAUGCAGCAACGCCGCGGGAGGGACGACGGCCUUCGGGUUGUAAACCUCUUUUAGCAGGGAAGAAAAAAGGCUUUUCUAAGUCGUCUGACGGUACCAUAUGAAUAAGCACCGGCUAACUCCGUGCCAGCAGCCGCCGUAAUAC